rnacentral:tRNA from 1 species
GCUCGCGGUGGCCGAGGCGCGGCUGGCCGCCGGGCAGGCGGCGGACGCGCCCGCCGUGGAGGCGGCCGUGGACCGUGCCCACCACCAGUG